rnacentral:misc_RNA from 1 species
UGUCAAGCGGAAAAGCCGCGCCCAUUGCUCCGAUGCCAUCGCUGCUGCUAUCACCGAGGGCGCCCGCAGAGAUUCUCCCGCCAGCGAGGGUGGCAGCAGAAUUUCUCCCGUAAGCAAGAAUGCUGCGGGCAUGUUUCAUGUGCCAGGCCGGACAAUGUGGUUUCACUGGCCUUCCGUGGUGGCCGUCUCUGCGACGCUGUUUGCCAUUUUCGGUGGCGCGUCUGGUGACAUCAGCGACCAGCACCAUGACCGUGUCGACGCUGCCGUCGGGAAGUUCAUCGCGUCGGUGAGGCACCCCGACACCCUCGGCCCUCUUGUCCGGGCCGCCUCGGCCGCCUCUGCCUACGACAACGCUUGCUCGCGGAGCCUGGGACAAUGGGCCAGCGGGUUGCGGUCCGCGCAAGGCUGGGCACUGCGAAUGGUGGACUCCAGCGCAAAACUGGUGACCGGCGUUCUCUAUGGCAACGCAGCUGACCUUGGAAACUUCGACGAGUGCGUCCGUGCGUCAAGUCCGGACGGCUUCUCGGGACGCUACAUCCUGCCUUAUCUAGACGUGCAGACGGCGCCCAACAUUUCUACUUUGGUGACAGGACGCAUAGCUUUCUGCGUUCCCAGCACGUGUGAUGAACAGCUAUUGGAAGAAACUCUGAGCCAAGCCUUAAAAUACAUAAACGCAGGGCUUGCAGCCAUUGGGUUUCGUGUGCAAUGCCGACUGCCACGCCAAGCCUCCGCAGUGGCUGGCCUGUGGCGUACCCCCGCGGCAGGAGACUACGUUGUCAUCGUUAUCUGCCUUAUAUUGGCGAUGCUAGUGGCCAUAGGAACAGCCAUUGACUUGCGAUUAAGUGAAAAAGAGAAACGUGUCAUGGGGAAAGCCUCUCUGGUUCUGGCAUUUUCAGCCUGGACAAAUGGACGAAGGCUAUUCGCCAUUGCUCCUCCAAGCGAUUCAAAUUUUACCUGCAUCAAUGGAAUUCGAUUUAUGUCAGCUGUCUGGGUUGUUUUGGGGCAUCGGUACUUGGGACUAACGCGAUUGCCCUGUAUGAAUCUUCUUGCCGUUCCUGAGCGGUUCGCUGACCUUUCUGGCACGAUGUUGUACGCGGCCCCGCUGUCAGUCGAUACUUUCUUUUGCAUUGGAGGCCUGGUCAACUGUUACGUGUUUAUGAAAGUAGCCCAUGAUUCCGGAUCUUUCAACAUCUUUAUGUACUAUUUCCACAGAUACAUAAGGCUCACCCCGGCCUUCGCUCUCAUGGUGGCGAUCACGGCCACGUGGAUCAGCCUGCUGGGCGACGGCCCGCUGUGGGCUGAUAUAGUGGACGGAGCGAGUGAGACCUGUCGGCAGCACUGGUGGACUGCCCUGCUGUACGUAGCCAACUACGCCAACCCGGAUGACCAAUGCAUGAUGCAGUCGUGGUACCUGAUGGCGGACAUGCAGCUCCAUUGGGUGUCCCCGCUACUGCUCUACCCGCUGUGGAGAUGGCGCCGCUAUGGCGUGGUGUGGCUCUGCGUGGUACUCGCGGCUUCGUGCGCCUGGCCGUUCGGCCUGACUUUUGCCAACAACCUUCCUUCACCAUUACCGCUCAGCCUUAGUCUCGAUGGCCAGGCGUGGUUCAUGCAGCACAUGUAUUACUCGGCUUACUCGCGAGCCGCGUCGUACAUAUGUGGGACUCUGGCGGGCUUUGUCUUGUUCCUCAUCAAGUCGGGCAGCAUCAACCGAAAGCUGACCAAGAAUGAGGUCCGGCUGGGCUGGCUGCUGAGCACGGCGCUGUGCCUGGCCGUGGUCUUAGGACAGAAGCCGCUUGUAGACUUCACUCACUACCCCUACAAUGUGUGGAGGUCGUCCCUGUUCGCGGGCCUCCACCGCCCCGCCUGGUGCCUUGGGAUAUCCUGGGUCGUACUGGCUUGCAUCUUGGGCCAUGGAGGGCCCGUCAAUAGCUUGCUGUCGUGGGCACCGUUCACCAUUUUGGGCAGACUCACUUACGGCAUUUACCUGACUCACGCGGCCGUGCAAGCAGUGGACCACGGUACUACCCGGACUUCUAUGUACUACUCUGACUUCAAAAUGUCUUGUGCUUUCUGUACCAGGUUGAGAAGAUGUUGAGCGACGUAGUUUUGUCGUCUAUCCUAGGCGCAUGUUUGUGUCUGGCUCUGGAGUCACCCAUAUCAAGCAUAGAAAAAUCGCUUCGAACUGUGCGUGGUCGUCAGCAUUCCUCCAACGUUACAUCAAAGGAGCUCGGAAACCCCGAUCAACAGAGUUGCGCGUAAAGGCUGAUUGGUGGUGGAGCGCGGACCUCCAUCGAAGCUUCGCGCAGCUUUUACAACACACCUGAUCUCUUCCAAAGGCCGGGGGAAUGGGCAGGAAAAAACUCUUCGCGCCUUAACGAGACACGUAAUGGGUAGACAUAUUGAAAAUUCUGAAUUUUCCAAGAAAAGAAAAAUAAUGUUUCCAGAAGGUGGAAAAGUUUUUGAGUCUCCAUAAACAAU